rnacentral:lncRNA from 1 species
AGGUGGAGGGUGAGAAGGCUAGCACUCCUUGCGCUGGCCUCCGUCACGUUUCUAUCGGCUGUGGGGAAUUGGGAAGAAGAGCUUUGAGCCACUCGCUCUGCCAGGUAAUGUGGCUACGACACGGCCCGCUGUAGCGCCGGGCCUGAGUCUUAAAUCUGAGGUUAAUUCUGAACGAUGCUCCGGCUUGCGGCCCCCUUCGCCUGGCCCCGGCCGAACCACAGAGCCCUAUUCAGGCUUUGAGGGACUGAAGAGCUCAAGCGGCGCCCUUUGCCAAGUCCAUGCAUACCACCGCUUCCGCCAGACACUCGGGUCUCUGAGGCACCUACUCUGAGAGCUCCAAAGAGAGGCUGAGGCCAGUUCUCCCCUUUCCCAAGAAGAGUCUGAGACUGAAACCUUGAUGCUGAGAACACCUUUCCCCUUUCUGAUGCAAGCAGCUUGCAGAUUGUUAAUGCCGGAGCCUGAGGCAAGAAUGUCACAGACCUUUCCCAGGUGUUUGUUAAGGUUCUCCCAACAGGACGAUAAACUCAUCUGGAAGGCAGAGGGCCUGCCCAUUCAUAAACCUGUUGAUGUGGUCCCCAGAGGGCUGCACCCGGUGUCCUCAUGGAUACUAGUUGGGUUCAUUAACCACUGAACCACGUUAACCCCUGAGCCACGAUGGAAAUUCCUAAACAAAACCAUUUAAGCAAACUCAACCCAGCUUAUUUGAUGAAUUACCAGUUUAAGAUGGCAAGACCAACACUGUUGAUUCUGGGGCCAGAACUGGGACAAGUCCUUGAUUUGUCUACACUAGCUGUAUACACCAUCUACCUCCUGAGAGGAUUCAUUUUUCUUCCUAUUGCUAAAAAGGAGGAGUUGAGAAGAACUGGACCAAACAGCAGGUUGAGAGUACCCACAUCUGCCAAAGGGGCAGGGGGCUCAGAUGAAAUGAACAAAGUCAUGGCCCUCACGGGGUUCAGCUUCAUUGGAAAGACAGACCAGAAACCAACUCAUGACCAUGGGGAGAGCACCAUGAGGGUAUGGACAUGCUGCACGGACCCUAAAGGAGCAUGUUCUGAACUUGACUUGAGCUGAGCUGAGCCGGGGCGAAGGGGAGGCAGCCAAGGCAGACAUCUGAGAGGAGGUGCUGGCCCUGCAGCCACCUUUUAAAAGACGGUGUAAAACAUGGCUGUCUGUGCGGCGUGUGGAAGCAGGAAAGCGGGUGAGGUCGUGUCCGGGGCCGGAGCACAGUGUGCCUCAAGAGAGAGACCAGACAUCCCGUAAGAGGCAGAGAAGGCCCAUCGCUUUAAAAGCCUCAAGCGCAAUGCCAAGGAAUUCUAUCUUUAUUCUAAAACGAAUGGGCAGUCAUUAAAGGAUACUAAGCAGAAAAAUGCAUUGACUAGACAUGCAUGUUGGAAAAUGUACUUUGAUCAAAUUUGGUGUUGUUUAUGGUCAUUUCUAUAAAGUAUUUGGCAUUGGAAACUUAGUCAGGAACUUCACCCCCUAAUAGGACCAUUCUAAUUUCUUUAUAUUUCCUCUGAAAUUGACACCCGAAAUAAAGCUGACUUCCUAUGGAACUCUAUGCAUUUUCUGACUUUCCUUCCCUGGGCCACUCUGCUCCUUGGGGCCUCCUUUUGAAUCCAAGAAAUCAAUAUAAAAGUAAUUGAAUAUAAAUAAUCUAUCCACUUCUUUCCAUUCAUUUAUUUCUCAAGGCUAGUUUUUACAUGACUCUAUAUAGAAAAAAAAAUGUGACAAGGGACCGUCACUGUGUGUUUUAAAUGCAGACGAUAACUAAUGUUGAAGACAAUGAAAAAUAAGCCCAAAUUUCUAGUCUGUUAUAGGACACUGAUUGUAUUAGUCCAUGCAGAGGAAAUUUAGAAUCAAAACCAGUUAUAAAAAACAAACAUUAAAAACAGUUUGGGAGUUACCUUGCAGUGUAGUGAAUUAAGAAUCUGCUGUUGUCACUGCCACAGCUCAGGUCACUGCUGUGGCCUGGGUCCCAUCCCUGGCCUAGGAACUUCCACAUGCCAUGGGCAUGGCAAAAAAAAAAAAAA